CGGGACGGGUGAGUAACGCGUGGGUAACCUGCCUCAUACAGGGGGAUAACAGUUAGAAAUGGCUGCUAAUACCGCAUAAGACCACAGUACUGCAUGGUACAGUGGUAAAAGCUCCGGUGGUAUGAGAUGGACCCGCGUCUGAUUAGGUAGUUGGUGAGGUAACGGCCCACCAAGCCGACGAUCAGUAGCCGACCUGAGAGGGUGACCGGCCACAUUGGGACUGAGACACGGCCCAG
rnacentral:rRNA from 1 species